GGUGGAUGCCUUGGCAGUCAGAGGCGAUGAAGGGCGUGCUAAUCUGCGAUAAGCGCCGGUAAGGUGAUAUGAACCGUUAUAACCGGCGAUACCCGAAUGGGGAAACCCAGUGUGAUUCGUCACACUAUCAUUAACUGAAUCCAUAGGUUAAUGAGGCGAACCGGGGGAACUGAAACAUCUAAGUACCCCGAGGAAAAGAAAUCAACCGAGAUUCCCCCAGUAGCGGCGAGCGAACGGGGAGGAGCCCAGAGCCUGAAUCAGCAUGUGUGUUAGUGGAAGCGUCUGGAAAGGCGCGCGAUACAGGGUGACAGCCCCGUACACAAAAGCGCAUGUGCUGUGAGCUCGAUGAGUAGGGCGGGACACGUGGUAUCCUGUCUGAAUAUGGGGGGACCAUCCUCCAAGGCUAAAUACUCCUGACUGACCGAUAGUGAACCAGUACCGUGAGGGAAAGGCGAAAAGAACCCCGGCGAGGGGAGUGAAAAAGAACCUGAAACCGU
rnacentral:rRNA from 1 species